UGGUGGAGGGGAACUAGAUGGUUGUGGUGGUGUAGCUUGGUAUGGAGGUGGACUAGGUUGACUAUAGGUGGGAGGUGCAGUGGGUGCACUUGGUGGUGGUGGAGGCAAAUUGUUGGUUGGAGGACUAGAUUGUGGUGGCAUGGGAGAUUUGUAUGGAGGCAUGGUAGGAGGGAUAGAGGGUGAGAGCGGUGGCUGGUUAUUUGGCGGAGGUGUGGUUGGGGUACUUGAAGGUGGUGGAGGGGAACUAGAUGGUUGUGGUGGUGUAGCUUGGUAUGGAGGUGGACUAGGUUGAGUGUAGGUUGGAGGUGCAGUGGGUGCACUUGGUGAUGGUGGAGGCAAAUUGUUGGUUGGAGGACUAGAUAGUGGUGGCACGGGAGAUUUGUACGGAGGCAUGGUAGGAGGGAUAGAGGGCGAGAGUGGUGGCUGGUUAUUUGGUGGAGGUGUGGUUGGGGUACUUGAAGGUGGUGGCAGGGAACUAGAUGGUUGUGGUGGUGUAGCUUGAUGUGGAGGUGGACUAGAAUGCAAUGGAGGUGGUUGACUAUAGGUUGGAGGUGCAAUGGGUGGACUCGACGGUGGUGGUGGCAAAUUGUUGGUUGGAGGACUAGAUUGUGGUGGCAUG
rnacentral:lncRNA from 1 species